UCACAACAGUGGGCUGAAUGC
rnacentral:miRNA from 1 species